rnacentral:rRNA from 1 species
CAUGCAAGUCGAACGGAGUCAAGAGAAGCUUGCUUUUCUUGACUUAGUGGCGAACGGGUGAGUAACGCGUGAGUAACCUGCCCUGGAGUGGGGGACAACAGUUGGAAACGACUGCUAAUACCGCAUAAGCCCACGGCCCGGCAUCGGGCUGAGGGAAAAGGAUUUAUUCGCUUCAGGAUGGACUCGCGUCCAAUUAGCUAGUUGGUGAGGUAACGGCCCACCAAGGCGACGAUUGGUAGCCGGACUGAGAGGUUGAACGGCCACAUUGGAACUGAGACACGGCCCAGACUCCUACGGGAGGCAGCAGUGGGGGAUAUUGCACAAUGGGGGAAACCCUGAUGCAGCGACGCCGCGUGGAGGAAGAAGGUUUUCGGAUUGUAAACUCCUGUCGUUAGGGACGAUAAUGACGGUACCUAACAAGAAAGCACCGGCUAACUACGUGCCAGCAGCCGCGGUAAAACGUAGGGUGCAAGCGUUGUCCGGAAUUACUGGGUGUAAAGGGAGCGCAGGCGGACCGGCAAGUUGGAAGUGAAAACUAUGGGCUCAACCCAUAAAUUGCUUUCAAAACUGCUGGCCUUGAGUAGUGCAGAGGUAGGUGGAAUUCCCGGUGUAGCGGUGGAAUGCGUAGAUAUCGGGAGGAACACCAGUGGCGAAGGCGACCUACUGGGCACCAACUGACGCUGAGGCUCGAAAGCAUGGGUAGCAAACAGGAUUAGAUACCCUGGUAGUCCAUGCCGUAAACGAUGAUUACUAGGUGUUGGAGGAUUGACCCCUUCAGUGCCGCAGUUAACACAA